GAUUUACUAUCAAUUUAUUGGCAAUGUUGACUUUUACUUGAGAACCACUUGAAAAGGUUAUGGGAAUAUAUAAUUUAGACGGCAUGCAAACAUGUGACGAAGUCCACUUUACACGCAAGUGAUUUCAUUACAUGAUUAGAACUCUGGGUGGCAAGAGGUUUGCAAUUAAGUGUUGAAUGAGAGUAAAAUAAACUUGUUUGUCCACAUCUAUCGAUGUGGAAACAUCUGAGUAGACUGGAAAUCAAUUGCUGGCAUGUUUGAUUAAAAUCUUCUAUAAAUAUAAGAAUUUUAUUGAUAUUUUUAACUGAAAGACCGGUAAAAUAUGUUAAGCGAUUUCGGUUUCGAAAUCUAUCAAUAAUUUUUAAAUUGUUGAUAUCAUAAAGUAUUAUUUUUUCAGUAAAGCUGAAUUCUCGAAGAAGUUCUAUAACCUUCAAAGAGAAUGUGUACCUCUUCUAAAUGCAUUAUCUUUUAUGGCGAUUUAGAAAAACAAACAUCUUGAAAACGGCAAACGACUUGAUUGUAUUCAUACUUGCACCCAAAGAGUUGUUGGACAAGUGUCUUUGGCGUCAUCAUCAAACAGCAACAACAACAUGAGCAACAACGUGCAGAGAGACAUACUAAAAAUGGAGUACAACCGUUCGUUCAUAGGGUAGACGAACGACAACUAUACUACGUCGUAUUUUUGUAUUAAUAUGUAUCUGUGUGUGCACAUUUAUUUGUAUCGAUGUGUUGUUGUUAUUGUUUUGUAUUCAACGCUACGAAAUUAUAUAUGUCCAGCCACGCGUAUUUAUCAACUCAGUUCACAAAGAAAACUCAAGGCGACAACAAGUAAAGUGAGAGAACCAGUGGUUGGAAUAAACAAAAACAAUAUUGUUUUUUUUUUAAGAAACGAUUAAGAACAAUUCUCCAAGUGUGAAGAACAAUAUUCAAAACAGAAAAGGCAAAAA